GUGGGGAAUUUUGGACAAUGGGGGCAACCCUGAUCCAGCCAUGCCGCGUGCGGGAAGAAGGCCUUCGGGUUGUAAACCGCUUUCGGACGGAAAGAAAUCGCAUGGGUUAAUACCCUGUGUGGAUGACGGUACCGUAAGAAGAAGCACCGGCUAACUACGUGCCAGCAGCCGCGGUAAUACGUAGGGUGCGAGCGUUAAUCGGAAUUACUGGGCGUAAAGCGUGCGCAGGCGGUUUCUUAAGCCAGACGUGAAAUCCCCGGGCUUAACCUGGGAACUGCGUUUGGAACUGGGAGACUAGAGUGUGUCAGAGGGAGGUGGAAUUCCGCGUGUAGCAGUGAAAUGCGUAGAUAUGCGGAGGAACACCGAUGGCGAAGGCAGCCUCCUGGGAUGACACUGACGCUCAUGCACGAAAGCGUGGGGAGCAAACAGGAUUAGAUACCCGAGUAGUCC
rnacentral:rRNA from 1 species